rnacentral:lncRNA from 1 species
GUAGUAUAAGUACAGUAACACGUGUACUUAGUUGGCUGGUGUAAUGAGUUAUUUUAUUUUCUUCAUAUUUAGUAAUGUUUAUUCAUUACUCAAGUUUCAAGGCAAGCAGCGACGACGCGCGUGAAACCCAGAGAAGACGAAAUCGUGACGCAACAGCAGAGCGUCAAAUCAACGAUGCCCUCCUCGCGUGAAGAGCGAAGCUCCCAAUGUCUCCUUCCCUUUUUCUGGCGCACAGCUUGCACCUGCCAACCGCCUGAAAGGAAAUGUCCUUGCUCCGCGAUUUUUGCCUUUCGCUCGCGAGAAUGAACGUCGCGUAGCAUCUAAGGACAGUGGGAUCAAUCCUAAGCGUCCACCCCUUUCCUCUUUGGGAAUAAGUCAAAUUCUCAAAAGAAAAUGGUUGUUUCCUGAACAGUGAAAGGUUGGCUUUGAAUUUUGAACUAGGUCUUGAGUUUUUUUUUUCGAUUUUGCCCUCACCUUUUCCCUUUAUCAAAUCCUAAUUUCGUUCUUAUAUAAACUUCCUUGGAUCUUCUGUGAGGGGGAGAAUUUUUUUUUUUAAAAAAAAAUUUAAAGGAAUAUUUUUGGGUGGAACUUUUGAGAAAGAAGGUGUAAAAUAGAGAUGAUUUCGAGGAGGAGUUUUUUUUAUUUUUACAAAAAAAGUGUAUUGAAGAGACUUGUGAAAACUUGUAAGAGGCUUAGAAACGUUGGAAACAGAGAAGGAGCGAGCUCCUCUUGCAUGCAAUGAUGUGGUGGUAAAUCUCUAAUUCUAAUUCAGUGCUCAGUAGAUAGUUGAAAAACGAUACGAUCCUAAUUUAGUUUUGGUGUUGAGUUUGACCUCCUUCCUAAGUACCUUGAUUGUCGUUUGUGUUCAAAUCUCACAUUUGUGGAACUGCUCUCAACUUGUCGUUUCAGUUUGUUGCACCAUCAAAGGUAAAUUUAUUCGAAAUCCCGAGUCUUUUAUUUCUAUGUGCCGUUUGGGUAUGAACUGAAAUGGUUCAUUGGUCUAUUCCCUCUUUUUCGAUGAUUUUUUAUUCUUCAUUUAUGGCAUUUAUUGUGUAGUUGAGACCAUCGCUUUAUUUUUGCGCUGCUGUUAUAUAUGUUAUACUUUGGCAUCUGGCAUCGGUAUACACAUGUUCUUAGCGGCUCCUUUAUUUGGUCGAAUCAAGCUUGUAGGCUGGCAUCUAAAGUUGAUGAUUUCAGUUUACUUUUGAGUAUUGUUCGUCUUUCUCUUUUUUUCUCAAAUUUAGUAUGGGAGUCUGUAGUGUUUCAUUUAUAAGGUUUUAAGUGGCAUGGCAUUGUAUUCAACACGGCUUUCUUAUGUGUAAUAUCGUUAUUCAUGUGAGUUUAAACCAUCGAUAUGGUCGACAUAUACGAAAGGUGGCAUAUAUGUUCUAAUAAUCUAGUUAGGUUUAUUUCUUAAGCAUGUUUGUUAUUUUAAUUACCGCUUCACCUGAUAUGUUUAAAUUAAGUUUUCACCAUCAUGCUUUUCCCAUUUGUUUGGAGAAGUGUUGCUUUCAGUCUGAGUUGGUGACUCUUUUUAACCGUUUGUGGUUUUCAUUUUCGUUCUCCGUCUUGUUUCAUUUUCUUUUGCUUAUUUUUUGCUCGUUGUUCUGGUCAGUCUAUAUAUUAGAUAUCAAAAUUCUGACUUUUCUUAAGCUCCGUAUGCAUAUGUACCCAUUCUAUUUGGUGUUUUGCAUUAGUUAUAAUAUAUGAAAAUUUGUUGAUUUUUUUUCCAGCAAAUGUUUGCCUCUGAGAUUUGCCCGUGCACGUAGAAUUCCAUUGUUUUAGUUGAAAUGUUGUUUGCAUUAAUUGAUCGGCUACCCCUUUCGUAUAUGCAUAUACAUGAACUUUGAAGAAACCUACCCCAUAGAACAAGAACCAGAUUCUUGUAAGUUGGUUUUAAGUCAGAACACAAACACUUGUUAAAUUAAAAACCUUCCUCAAUCAAGGAAGGAAAAACCCCGUUUUAUUAAUUCAACUAGAUGAUUUUAUGAUUACAACUCAAUAAUCAAAAACCUCACCACUACAACAACUCUCGAUUAACUAUAAUGGACUACUUCUACUCUCCAAAAGGUCAAACCCACCUUUUGUGACAAAACCUCACCAAAACUCAACUCUAAAAGAAGCCAAACCCACUUCUUGUACAAAGAAUCGUAACGAACACUCAAGAAUGAAACAAGAAAAUAGUUUUACAUGUUCAAGACUUUCUAACUCAAGAACUUCUUGAACUUAGCAAACCUAUGACCUUGAGGACUUCUAAUUGAUGAAUAAUUCUCACUUUUCUCUCUAUGUGAAGUCGUGAUCUUCUCAUCUGCGUUUGUCCUCUUCUUAUAGAAUUUUCUUCUGCCUUGAAUCCUUAUCAAAUAAGGUAAGGAAAUUGUAAUUGUAUUUAAACAAGGAUUACUGAUUUUACCUUGUAUUGUACAAUCCUUUUUAUAUACAAUUUUCUUCCUUAAUAUAUUAAGGUUUCCUUAUUUGUAUCAACUUGUAUCUUUAGCAAUUAAGGUUUUCUUAUUUGUAUCAACUUGUAUCUUUAGCAUUAAUUUUGGCGGCUAUGUCAAUCUGCUGCUUCAAUUUGUUACGUGACAGUUGAUCCAACAUGUGGCUGCGUCAAUUUACUGCUUGUGGCUGCGUUAUGCUAUGACUUAUUAUUUGCAUUUCUUGUCUAUCAUCAAAACACCAAAUUUAUAUUACUUGUAGAAUUACUCAGAUUCUAUCAUAUUCCCCCUUUUUGAUGAAGACAAACCUGUGUAAUGCACCAUAUAAUAUCUUCCCCCCUUUUGACAAAUCAAAAAGAGUCCAAUAACAGCUAAUAUAAAACCAGAUAACAUCCACAGCAACAAUUGAUGCUCAGCCAGUUGAGCAAAAUAAAAUGUUCUGGCUAAAGAGUAAUAUCAACACAGAGUUUAAGCAAUCAAAAGAACCAGGUGCAAACAAGAUGCUUUUCAAGUUGAAGAUUGACUAGGCUUGGCGGAGGCAGAAGCAAGCAUGUCCAGAACUCUGUCAACCCUUGCAUUGUUGGCAAGCUGCUGUUGCAUUAACGAAUCUUUUAACCUGUGGAUCUCAGCAUUUGAAGUAUGAAGUUCAGCACGUAAUUUCUGGUUUUCCAAUUCAAGAGUGGCAUACUUUUCUUCUGCCACUUUGAGUUCCCUAAGUAACUGAGCAACAGGACCAGAUGUUCGUGGAGAAGCAUUAGCAACCUGCUCCGACUCCAUGGGAAUGCCACAAUCAGAAAGAAUGGUUUGAGUAAACAUAUCUGCACGAGUCAAAACCUUUUCUUCUCCCAAUGGUACUUCAAAUGCAUCAAACACUCUAGUUAAAAGAUUCCCAAAUGCUAAUUGAUGAGAACCUAGUUUAGGAUCAACAAUUCUAGCAAAGUGUUUGAUGAUCAGUGUGGGCCAGUUAAUACGUUCUCUACAUUCAAGGGCAUUCAUAAGUCCCAUGUCCCUUAUGGAAGCAAUGUGACGUUGGUGACCUCUGAGCAGUAUUCCCUUAUGUACUAUCUCAAAGAGAAGCUUAUGAAUUGAUCCCAUGAUACCUUUCAACACAGUCUGGGCCCUAGGAUUGACUCUACCUUGAGAAAAAUUAGCUGGAAGACUAGAAUGUUCAUCAAAAGCCCAAUGAUACUCAUUAAUACCCACUGAUGGUAUAUGUAAAAUUUCCCCAAGCUUAGUUGCAUCAAAAACAAUUUCAACUCCCUUCACACUAGAAGAUACCACAUCUCCUUCCAAGAUUAUCAAGUUUGUAUAAAAAUCUACUACUUCUUGCUCAUAAAUCAGAUUAGGUUCAAGAAAUAGUUCCUCCCACCCCUGAAACCUUAGUAACUCACAAACCUGCUUGACUAUGUCCAUUGACAGAAAGUCAGGAUGAAAACUUCUACCCCUAAGCACUAUUUUGGUUUGAAAAUAUUUUUUCUUUCCAACUUUGAGAAAUUUAUCCACAUUUCUUUUUGCAGAUUUUGACUUUGACUGAGGGGUUUCAGAAUGUUUACCCUCAAAGACAUCAUCAGAUUUAGAAUUAAGAACCAUUGGAGAAACAGAUGAGUGAACAAGAGACUUACCCAAACGACGACGCUUCACACUGGAUGUCGCACCAUCAGUUUGUUUGACUACAUUCACACCCCGAGUUACUGUCCUGUGCGGACGAACUUGUUUGACUGCAAUGUGUUUUCUUGGCAGUCUUGGGUUUUUAGGGUGAAGUGUUCUUAGAAGGAUGUCAUCAUUUUUUAGAGAAUGUGGAGAUGGUGGUGGAUUUUGAGGAGUGGUUUUGUGAGAUGGGGAAGAAGAGGAGUUCAAUGGGAUAGUGGUUAUGGGUGUUUCUGGGUUUGGUGGUAAUGGAGUUUCUUUGACUGGUGGUGAUGGUGAUUCUAUGACAGGUGGUGGUGGUGACUCUGCAACUGGUGAUGGAGAUGUUUCUGUAACUGGUGGUGGUGGAGAUGUAGACAGAUCUGAUUUGGGGGAGGAUGUAGAUGGUUUGGUUGUGGGUUGGUUUUCUUCCCCCUAAGUAGGUACUGUAUCAAUAAUGGGGUUCUCUUCCCCCUGAGAAGAUGCACUGUCAGAAGAAUUUUCAUCAUCUGAGUAAGCAACAAGAGGAUUAAACAUGGUGAUUUUUGAGGAUUUUUCUGAAAAAAUGGAAAAUGAGAAAGAGUUCGUUGCUUGUUUAGAGAGAGUGCUUUAUUGGGAACGGUUUUGGUGUUAUCUUUGAGGGGUUUUAGUAAUCAUGUGGUAUUGACAUCGAAGAGACGUGUGCUUUGACGGUUGUACCUGCUUUUCAGAGAAGUGAUAUAGGAGAGAGAAAGAGAAAUAAUUUCCCCCUUUUUUUAUUACUGAUUUUCCUUGCUUAAUGUAAAGCAGUUGUAGAACUAACUAGAUUGGACCUGGUUCUUUUAUCAUGAGAACUUGGUUAGGCAGAAAUCAGUCUAAAAAGAUGAGCCCUAACGCAAGUCGAUUUUUCUGAAAUGAUUUUCUUCCUAGUGCUUUGAUGAAAAUAUCAGCAACUUGAUCCUCAGUUUUGCAGAAUAUCAUGACUAUGUUUCCGUUUCAACAUUAUCACGAAGGAAGUGAUGUCUAACCUCUAUGUGUUUGGUACGUUUGUGUUGAACUGGAUUUUUCGCCAUGUUCAUAGCACUUGUAUUAUCACAAAGAAUGGGAAUACAACAUGUUUUUAUACCAAAAUCUUUAAGCUGCUGUUUUAUCCAAAGAAGUUAGGCACAACAAGAAGCAGCUGCUACAUAUUCAGCCUCAGCAGUGGAUAAAGCAACCGAAUUUUGUUUUCUAGUUGCCCAAGAUAUUAGACAUGGUCCUAAGAAGUGUGCCAUUCCAGAGGUACUUUUUCUAUCUACCAUAUGUCCUGCAUAGUCUGCAUCAGCAAAUCCCUUUAGAUCAAAUGAGUCACCAGUUGGAUACCAAAGAACCAGGUUUAUUGUGCCUUUUAGAUAUCUCAAGAUUCUUUUGACAACUUUUAGAUGUGAUUCCUUGGGACAUGAUUGAAAACGUGCACAUAGACCAACACUCAACACUAUAUCAGGUCUACUGGCAGUAAGGUAUAUGAGUGAUCCAAUCAUACCUCUAUAUCUAGUGUCAUUUACUGGUGAACCUGGUUCAUCUUUAUCAAGCUUUGUUGUUGUCCCAAUGGGUGUGUCAUUUGACUUAGCUUCAUUCAUUUCAUAUUUAUUCAGUAAUUCCUUGAUGUAUUUUUGUUGAUGAAUUGAUGUUCCAACUGGAGUUUGUUUAAUUUGGAGUCCUAAAAAGAAGUUUAGGUCUCCCAUCAUACUCAUCUCAAAUUCACUAUUCAUUAGUUGAGCAAAUUCUACUCCAAGUGAGUCAUUAGUUCCUUUAAAUAUGAUAUCAUCUACAUAUACUUGGACUAUGAACAGAUCUUCACCUUAUUUUUGAGGAAACAAUGUAUUAUCAAUUUUUCCUCUUGUGUAUCCAUGUGUGAUAACAAAGGUGGACAAUCGAUCAUACCAUGCUCUAGGUGCUUUCUUUAGCCCAUAGAGUGUUUUGUCUAGUUUGUAUACAUGAUCAGGAUACUUGGUAUUCUCAAAACCUGGGGAUUGUUUCACAUACACCUCUUCUUGCAGAUAACCGUUUAAGAAGACACUUUUGACAUCCAUUUGAUAGAGUUUAAAUUCCAUGUAAGCAGCAUAUGCAAUCAAUAUUCUGAUUGCCUCAAUUCUUGCUACGGGUGCAAAAGUUUCAUCGUAGUCUAUCCCUUAUUCUUGGUUAUAUCCCUAUACAACCAGCCUAGCUUUGUUGCGUACUAUUUGACCUUGUCAUCGAGCUUAUUUCUAAACACCCACCUUGUUCAUAUUACCGUUUUGUUUUGAGGUUUUGGAACCAGGUUCCAUACUCUGUUCCUUUCAAACUGAUUAAGUUCUUCUUGCAUAGCACUAAUUCAAUCAGAGUCUAAUAGUGCUUUCUUUAUAUUUUUUGGCUCAAUCAGGGAUACAUAGGCAGAGAAUGCACACAUGCUACGUAAUUUGGAUCUUGUAGAGAUGCCUGAGUUAAGUGGAGUAAGAAUGUUUUGUAAAGGAUGAGAGCUUUGACGUUUCCAGCUGUGAGUUUGGAUGUUUACUGGCUCUUGAGAUGCAGAAGAACCAGUUUCAUUAGUAGACUUAUCUUCUAUUUCAGAUGUUUUAUGAGAGGGUAUGGAUUCUUCUUCCCAUAUUUUUGGUUAUGAUGGCUUGGAGCAGGUUCUCUCAUUCUGUUCAUCCUCUGAAUUUCCUUCAACUUCACUGUUAUUUUCAUUAAAGACAACAUGAACACUUUCUUCUACACGGUUUGUUUUUUUAUUCAGUACCUUGUAGGCUUUGCUUUGUGACGAAUAGCCCAGAAAAAUUCCUUCAUCACUCUUGGCAUCAAAUUUUCCCAAAUUGUCUUUGUCAUUGUUGUGUAUAAAGCAUACAAACCCAAAGGCCCUAAGAUGUGCUAAAUUUGGUUUUCUUCCUUUUAGCAGCUCAUAUGGUGUUUUGUUUAACACUAAUCUGAUCAUACACCAUUUUAUUACAUAGCAUCAUGUGUUUACUGCUUCAGCCCAAUAGGAUUUUGGAAGUUUGCUUAAGAUUAACAUUGUUUUUGCAAUAUCUUCCAGUGUUCUAUUUUUCCUCUUGACUACACCAUUUUGUUGUGGUGUUCUAGGUGCUGAAAAGUUAUGCUCAAUCCCAUUUGUAGUACAAAAUUAUAGGAAUUGUGAGUUCUCAAACUCCAGCCCAUGAUCAGAUCUAAUGCUAAUUAUUUCUUUGUUGAAUUUUUUCUGAACCAGCUUUGCAAAGAUUUCAAACAUAGUGAAUGUUUCAUCUUUUGUUGCAAGAAACAAUGUCCAAGUGAAUCUUGAAUAAUCAUCAACUAUUACAAACACGUAUCUUUUCCCACCUCAGCUUUGUAUACGCAUUGGUCCACACAAAUCCAUGUGGAGCAGUUCUAGUGGCUUGGUAGUACUAACUGUUAACUUUGGUUUGAAGGAUGAUAUAACCUGUUUUCCUUGAAUGCAGGUUCCACAUACUUGGUUGUCCCUGAAACUUUUGGUUGGCAGUCCCCUAACCAGGUCUUUAGAUAUGAGUUUAUUUAUUGUUGUCAUGCUAAUGUGUCCCAUUCUUUUGUGCCAGAGCAUGGAGCAAUCAAAAACUGCACUUAGACAUUUAAGAGUAUCUUCCUUACAGUCAACAAUCUUGGCUUUGUACACAUUCUUGUGUCUCUUACCUAGUAGAACCAGGUUCCCAGUCACUGAGUUUGUUACUCUGCAUUUUUUUUCUGUAAAGAGAACUUGUUUCCUUUAUCGCAUAUUUGAGAUACGCUCAAUAGAUUAUGUUGUAGGCUAUUCACAUAGUGUACGUUCUCAAUUGCAUGAGUAUCUAUGGACCCAACCUUUCCAAUUCCCUGAAUUUCCCCACUUUUUCUAUUACCAAAGGUAACGUUUCCUCCUUUGAUGUUUUUGAGUGAGAGGAAGCUCCUUUAAUCUCCAGUCAUGUGUGUGGAACAUGUACUAUCCAAGUACCUUUGUUGUUGCUUCCUUCUCACUGAUCCCUGUAGUUUAAUUUCGGGGGUUAGAUUUUGGUACCCAGAUCCACUUUGAUUUAUGCUUAAAGAAUGGAUGAAUAAGAUUUUUUUCUGGCCCAUCUGGGAAGAGAUUUGACUGUAGGGAUUUGUUUUUGUUCAUUGGUUUUCUCAUGAUGAGGUUUUCUCAGAGAUUUCAAGUUUUUGUUAUGACCAAUUUAUUUUCUUUGACAAUCAUAACUUUUAUGCCCUACCAGCCCACAGCGCAUGCAUAGACAAUCUAUGUUGGGUUUUUUACUUGAGAGCUAGUUCUAUUAAAACCUAUCCCAUGUGUCUCAGAAGUACGAUUCUUGUGAAUGUUGUCAAGUAAUAUGGAGGACCUGGUCCAUCUCAUUCCAUUUUCAGCUUCAGUUUUAGUCACAAGAAGCUCUUUGGUUAGUUCUUCAUUCCUUUUACUUACAAAGUCUAGGUUUUUACUUAGCUCAGUAUUCUUGGAUAAUAGAUGAAGAUUUUGUUUUUCAAGAUUCUUGUUUUCUUCUCUUAGUGAUGCAUAGUCUUCCAUUAUCAAUUCCCUUUUUGAAUCUAUGGUUUUAUAUGCAUCAACGAAAGUGUAGAGUAAGGAUUCUAGCUCCCUUUUUUAGUAUGAGUUUAGAUUGUCUUGUAUGUGAUGAAGACUAACCUUUUCAUUCAUAUCUUCUUCUUCUUUGUCCUCUAAUCUGAUCCAGCCAUGAGUGCUAAUAUGGUUUCUUGUUAUGUGUAGGUUCCCUUGGUUUCCACUACUACUAGAGCAAGAAUGUCAUAAUCAUCUUCUUGUCCUAGUGCAAGAAGGGAUUUGUUUUCUGUCUCAUCAUCCUCAGAUUCUUCAUCAGAUGAAUUCCCCCAAUGCUGCAAAGGCCCUUUUCAUUGAAAUAUCUUCCUCUUGAGUUGUUAUUCUUCUAUUUGAGGGAACAAACUUAUCUUUCUUGAUGUCUUUGCCCUUCUCAGAGUUUGUCUUUUUCUGCUCUAAGGCCCAAAGUGGACUGAAUUUGAUGAAGUGAUCCGAACUUCCACACUUAUGACAAAUUUGGUCUUUAGUAUUUUCAUUUGAUUUUUGAGGAGUUUUCUUUUGAAAUGCAUGUCCACUUUUUAGCAUUCUGGUGAACUUUUUGGUUCUAAGGGUAAUAUUUUCAUCCUCAAAAUCAUCUGAUGCAGUAGCCUUUAGAACCAGGUUCCUUUCCUUCCUUUUCCUUCAAUUUCCUUUUCUUGAUUUUUCUUGAGUUCAUAUGUGAUGAGAUUACCAAUUAACUCAUCCAUGGCCAGUGUAUCUAGGUCGCGGGCUUCAGUGAUAGCCUCGACUUUGCUUUCCCAAGUUUCAGGAAGGACACUCAAGAGUUUCCUUACUGCCUUUCCGUUAGGAACUAUCUCUCCCAAGGAGUACAUCUCAUUGAUGAUUGAAGUGAACCUGGUAUGCAUGUCUUGUAUGGUCUCCCCUUCUGCCAUCCUGAAUAGUUCAUAUUGUUUGUUCAAGUUAUCAAUUUUGGACUCUUGACUUGCGUUGUUCCUUCAUGAGCGGUUUGUAGUGUUUCCCAUAUGGCUUUGGCAUCUUCACAAGACGAGAUUCGAUUGUAUUCGUAUGGUCCUAUACCACAUAUUAGAAUUUUCUUGGCUUUGGCAUUGUUUUGGAUUGCGAGCUUGUCUUUAGCAUUCCAUUCUUUUCUUUCCUUUGGGAUUUUGGUGAUUCCAUCAUUUGCAGUUUUCAUAGGUAUAGUUGGUUCAUCUAGAAUUACACCCCAUAGAUCAGGGUUUUCGCCAAUAAGAUGAUCCAUUAUACGAUUUUUCCACCAUCCAUAGUAUUUGCCAUUAAAUAGUGGUGGUCGUGUUUGUGAAGCUCCCUCUUGUGUGGUGGGUGGUAGUGCCAUUGAGUCUUUUCAAGGUGUGAAUCUUUUAUCGAAAAGACUUGCUCUGAUACCAAUUGAAGAAACCUAUCCCCUAGAACAAGAACCAAGUUCUUGUAAGUUGGUUUUAAGUCAGAACACAAACACUUGUUAAAUUAAAACCUUCCUCAAUCAAGGAAGGAAUAACCUCGUUUUAUUAAUUCAACUAGAUGAUUUUAUGAUUACAACUUAAUAAUCAAAAACUCACCACUACAAAAACUCUCAAUUAACUAUAACCGACUACUUCUACUCUCCAAAAGUUCAAACCCACCUUUUGUUACAAACGUCACCAAAACUCAACUCUACAAGAAGCCAAACCCACUUCUUGUACAAAGAAUCGUAACUAACACUCAAGAAUGAAACAAGAAAAUAGUUUUACACGUUCAAGACUUUCUAACUCAAGAACUUCUUGAACUUAGCAAACCUAUCGACCUUGAGGACUUCUACUUGAUGAAUAAUUCUCACUUUUCUCUCUAUGUGAAGUCGUGAUCUUCUCAUCUGCGUUUGUCCUCUUCUUAUAGAAUUUUCUUCUACAUUGAAUCCUUAUCAAAUAAGGUAAGGAAAUUGUAAUUGUAUUUAAACAGGGAUUACUGAUUUUACCUUAUAUUGUACAAUUCUUUUUAUAUACAACUUUCUUCCUUAAUAUAUUAAGGUUUCCUUAUUUGUAUCAACUUGUAUCUUUAGCAAUUAAGGUUUUCUUAUUUUUAUCAACUUGUAUCUUUAGCAUUAAUUUUGGCGGUUGUGUCAAUCUGCUGCUUCAAUUUGUUACGUGACAGUUGAUCCAACAUGUGGUUGCGUCAAUUUACUGCUUGUGGCUGCGUUAUGCUAUGACUUAUUAUUUGCAUUUCUUAUCUAUUAUCAAAACACCAAAUUUAUAUUACUUGUAGAAUUACUCAGAUUCUAUCAAACUUGAUUUGAUUUAAUAUAGUUUACCGUCCAAUUUUGGUUGAUGCACUUUUAUUUGAUUGAUUUUAUUUAUCAACAUGCACUUAGUCAUGUUUCUAUUGUCAGAAGGUUUUUUUUUUUUUAAUUUCCAUUAGGAUUUGUAUGGAUUAUUUACUCAUGUUUCUUUUUUUUUAUUUGUGCAUUAAAAAUCCGCUCAAGUUCGUUAAAGAACUCCCCUUUUUCCAAAAUUUGAGAGAGCCAUAAGGACUCAUAGUUAUCAUCGAGUCACCCAACCUUAAAUUCGAAGAGCAAAUCUCGGAGUUGAAUGAAUUUGAGCGGAAGAGAGUUGAAAAAGAAGAGCCAAGAAGCCUCCUUUAUUUUAAAUAAUUGUAUUCCCUUAUUUUUUAGCUUAAACCUUUAUUAUGUUGCAUUAUUAUUUGAUUAGUUUAAGACAGGUACAAACCAGUGCGGCCUAAGACCCAAAAAUAAAUGGGUUCAAAUACCGGUCCAGGCGGACAGUAACCAGAUUUGGACCCAGCUCUCUCUUUCCCUCUUUUACUUUAUCAUUUUAUUUGCUCGAUAAGUAAUUGUCGUUAGUUUAGGGUUAAAAAAAUUGAAAUCCCUGCUAAACGUCGCCUUGGUUUAACAAAUCGAGCUAAAUCAAUUAAGUCGAAAUGGUUUUAAAAUCAUAAAAUUUUCAAAUAGUAAAACUUACUUAGCUAUAAAUUAAUUCUUCAUUUUUCAACAAGCCUUAAAAUCUUAAGUUAGAAUCAUUUUAGCCAAAUAUUUUAGUUGACGUAAAACCAUAUUAACGGAUAUUUUAGGUGUCUUAAACACCUUCCUAAAAUAUAAACAAGAAUUCUCAAACUCCCUUUAAAGGUUUUCAAUCAAUUUUCUUUUUAAAUCUUUUGAAAACUAAAUUUUCUUGAUUUUUGUUAAAAAUUAAGUUGGCGACUCUAACAAAGUUUCAAAAAAGUCAAAAACUUAUAAAAAAUUAAUUUUUCCAAAUAAAACAAUAAGGAGAAGGAGAAGAUGAAUAAGAAGAAGUAGGAGGGGGUGGAGGAGAAAGAGAAGGGUAAGAGGAAGGAGAAGGAGAAAGAGAAGAAGAUAUAGUCUAAUGGUGGUGUUGGAUUAAGUGAGAUAUUGCAAAAUUUAUGUCUAAGUACUUGAAUUAUCAGUAGGUGUAGUAUGAGCACUUGAGGUUAGGUCAUUUGACUCAAAGGCUAUCCAUUAUUGAGUGAAGGUGGGAGUGGAUCGAUAUGAAUUUUAUGGUAGGAUUACCAUAAACUCUCCGUACAUUUGAUGAUAUUUCGGUCUGUUGUGCGGAAUUUGAGAUAAUACGAGAAAAUAUAAACGCAAAAAACAAGACAACAGAUUUACGUGGUUCACCAAUAAAUUGGCUACGUCCACGGGAAGAGGGGGAGCAGUUUUAUUAUGGAGAGACAAAAACAGAAUUACAAAAUAGGGUUUGUCAUAGCGUCUAUACAUAUAUAGUGCUAAGCUACUCCCUAACAGGCUUGGGCCCAACAUACAGAAUUGACAGAAAAUUAAGGGUCCAAUACAACAACAUUGUAUACCGUCGGGCGGGGGCGUCUCCGCCCCCCGGACCCCCAGGCCAGGGGGCGCGUCGCCCCCCUGGACCCCCCGACUCGCUGACCGGGCAGCGAGACCCCCGUCCUUUCUGUUUGUAGCGGGUCCGAUUCAAGGCAUUCAACACGGUCAUUUUUGAUAGGUUGAUUGGCUCUUUUCACUUUUGACCAGUUUAGACUUUAUACUUCUUUGAGAGGUUAGGAGGUUGCCAUCAGGAAAUUGUAACAAUUUGCAAGAGGUGAUGUCUGUCAUUACAGAUAGUGGUACUUAAUUCACAUCAUAUUUUUAGAGGUCGAUUCAGAGUGAAUUGGAUACCUGAUUGAUCUUAGCAUUACAUUUCAUCCGCAAAUAGACAUUCAGCCCAAAAAGGACUAUUUAGGUUGUGGUUAUUUUUUUUACAACUCUCUUUCUUUAUCCGGGUCAUUUUCUUAUAAACAAGUUUCAUAGCUCUACAAUUCGUUUAAAACAUUUUCUAUGCGGUUUCUUAAUAGUUGUUCUUGUUAUCAUAUUUUUCUAGAAAUAAGUUUCUACCUUUAUAUGCACUCAAAACUCUCUCUUCUUGGUUUUUCUUAUUAUUGGAUCUCUUUCUCCAUUCAAGGGGAAGGUUGAGCACAUUCCACAUGUUCAAGCUGACAUUACUUUAAUUAAUAAGGGAUCAAGUUUCUUUAUUUUACUGCAUCUUGUUCUAUACAUGGUCAAGUUCUUGUUUUAAGAGCAUAUGAUACAAAUAUGAUUUCAGGUGAGGAAUAUGUAUAUCUUGGUAGAAGCUUUCUGUUAGGAUCGAAUUUACGCACACACACAAGAUGAAUGAAGAACACAAGAACUUUCAAGAGAAAGAAAUGAGAGAUCUAGAGAGAGAAAGAGAAAACCCAAUAUUUCGUGGUAACACCCCGUGAGUAAACUUCCAUGAUGGUGAGGUAUAUUUAUAUUAAUAAUUCAGAGUAUUUUUGGUUACAGAGAAUAAAUAGAGAAUGAAUAGGAAAGCCUAAAAUAGAGAAUAAAUAUGAAAGCCUAAAAUAGAGAAUAAAUAGGAAAACCUAAAUUUAAUCAGGCUCCACUACCUAACACUUUCUCGGUUUAAGGCUUUGAGUUGUUUACCUCCUCUUGCAUCAUAAUGUUAUUUGCAUACUCUCUUGAUAUUUUGUGUAAGCUUCUUUGAUAUCUAAGAAUCUCCUUACCAUACUUUCUUGUUUCCAAUUGAGUUGCUAUGGGUUCCUCUUCCUCCAAGUCAUGUGCAUAUUUACCGUAAGGUAUAAUGUAUAAACAUGACCCUUAACUUGGUUUAAGAGGAAAACUAUGUCCUCUAACUUCAAGUGUGUAUAAGUAGACACUGAUACUUUUAUAACAUUGAACAAGUAAACACAUGUAUCCUACAAGACAUAAUACACGUAGGACAGUACGUUGGUCACAAAAUUUUCAUAUGCAGAGGUGCCAUGUUAAGACUAUUUCAGGUGUUAAUAUAGUUCUCCCAGAUUAGUAAAUUUGGACCAUAUUUCCUCUAGCAUGUGUGUAUUUGUCACAAAAUAAUGCUUGGCACAUUUCACUUUGAAGGAGUCAAAUAGUGGGUCACAUGACAACUCGAUACCCCCAGGGGCAGACCCACAUGGUAGUUUUUGGGUGCUUGAGCACCCAUUAUUUUCAUAUCGAACUAUAUAUAUUUAUGUAAAAAUUAAAAAGAAUUAUAUAAAAUAAAAGGUGAACGCCCAUGAAAUAAAUAGUUUAGUUGAUGUGAUGGGUAUAAUGGGUGUUCAAGGUUGCUUCUUGGUCUCGCAUGCUACGGAUCAAUUCCCCUUUAGAGAUAUUAUUUUUGGUUUAAAAUCAAAAUCUUCUCUUUCUACUUAUUUUAUUUAUUUUUAUGCCUAUGCAGAUUAUUUAUUUUCCUUUCACAAACUAUCUUUUGCUUAUUUUACUAAACAAUUUGUCAUCUUACUUUUUUUAAUCCAAAAAGAAUUUUACUCUAGUUUUUUAUUAAUUUGGUUAGUGCGAUCUGAUUUUAAGGUAAUUAUUUCUUUUUCCUUAAAAAGAUGAAAAUUAUUGAUUUUCAAACUGAAAUUGAUAGGUCAUAUUCCAUGAUUAUUUUUGGAAGUAGAAAACACAAUGAUUUACUUUUUACAUGGGCAUAUUUGGUAGAAAAUGUUCCAGAAAAUAUUCUUUAUUACAAAAGAUGUUAGCAUAUCCUUAGGGAAAAAAAUUGCAUCAUAUUUAAAUAUUUAGAUAGGUAAAAAAGUUUAUGUUAAGUUUUGUCAAGCAUGGCUAGGAAAAUAUAUGAGUACUUCUAAUUAAAUAUAUAUUUUUUGUUAAAAUUUGACAAUAAUAUGCCGAUUGAAGUAAGUUUAUAGAUAUGGGAUGAGAAUUACUAAAGAAGAAUGAUUCCUUUUUCACAAAUAAGAAGUAUGAUGACUCAAAAUCUAAGGCAUGAUGGCACUUGCACUAUCCCAUUGGUAGGUAAGCCAACCCUCCGCCGAAAUUAACAUCAAACAAUCAUAAAGAAAUAAUAAUAUUAGAAAAAUCGAGUCUAAAAACUCAAAGUUUUCAUAGAUAUAAUAGAAGUGUGAAGGUAAGAAAUAGACCCAAAAUUUAGGUAAAAAAGAUAGAAGAAGAUAGAUUUUCUCCAAAUGCACCCUAACUCUUAUAUACAUAACCUCAGAUAAAUGAAAUCCAUGCGGUUUGAUAGGCCUAGGCAAUGCAUAAAAAAUAAAACACAAGUAGUAUAAGUACAAUAACACGUAUACUUAGUUAGCUGGUGUAAUGAGUUGUUUUAUUUUCUUCAUAUUUAGUAAUGUUUAUUCAUUAUGAUUUUCUAUGGUCAUGUGUGCAUUAGGUGGUCGGGACAAAGAAGAAAGAGGAGAAGGAGGAGGAGGAGGAGAAGGAGUAGCAGAAAAAAAAGGAGGAGGAGAAGUAGAAAUAUUAGAAGGAGAAAGAGAAGCAGAAUUGUAAGGAGAAGAAGCAGAAGGAGGAGAAGGAGCCAAAGAAGAAGGUGAACAUAAAUAAGAAGAAUGAGGAGAAGAAAGAGAAGGGUAAGGGCGAGGAGAACAAGUAGAAGUAGUGGUCUAAUGGUGGUGUUGAAAUAAGUUGUCACGCCUUGAGCCUACACCUGGGCGGGACCGACACUCGAGAACAAUUGUUGGCCCCAAGUGAAUCCUUGAAUUGGCUUACUUACUUAGAGAAAUACUUAAAUCAUUACAAAUAAAAUUGAAAUGCUAAAUAACUCCAUUAUCUGGAAUUGAAACAAAAAUAUUUUAAAAAUAAAUGUUUAACUUAGCCAAAAUGGCAACUCAAAUUUGAACAUAAGUCAAUAACAAAAUGAUGAUGAAUGAACUAACAUCUGAAUGAAUAUUUAUGAAGCCUCUAUAACUGAGAUGGAUGUUGGGACAGACCCCACAACAUCCUAAUGAACUAAACUAAUACUGAAAGCAAUAAAAAUGGCUCACCAACAGACUGUGAACUGCUCAUUGGAUCAACGGUACGCUGGAUUGCUAUCCUAAUUACCUGCGUUUGCAUCAUAAUACGAUGUAGGCCAGCUGGCAUCAGUACAUUGAAUGUAUGAGUAUGCAAGUUUGAAUGUUAAUACAACAUAAACUAGAAAGAUAUUAUCAAAGAAACACUUACCUUGACUCAUCUAAACUCAUGAAUACUUACUAAACUUAUUUCAUUAUAAAUCAGGUUUAAAAAAGUGCAACAUAAAUAAAAGAUAUGUUUAAAAACACUAUAUAAACGCUUUGUUUAUGCAAAGAUAUAAGAAACUCUAAGAUGUAUGUAAAAUACAAUGAAACAAUGUAUAUAAAAAUAAAAUAACUGCUAAGGGAGUUUCUUUAACAAACAACUAUCAAAUAAGAGCUAUAGUGAUGAUAUAGUGAUCUACCUCACACUGCCAGCGUAUCCUAUACUCGAUCAAAGGUAUAAGACCUGAACUGCCUAAUGGAUCCACUAUUUUACUACGAAAAUGGUUCAUCUAAAAAGUAUGACUCUUUUCUACCCAUGAUGUCUACAUAGUUUAUGGGGGAUGUGAGUUAUCCAAACUCUCUCCCAUAUUAAUGCUCAAUACUACUCCCAAAAUAUAUUGGCUUUUAUGUUUUAAAAACUUCGGUGGUUUGAGAUUUCUAACACUCCAAAAGUUCCAUGAACUAACUAAAGCCUCGCAUGAUGAACCAAGACAUGAAACACGGUUUCUAGGCCUAAAAUAAUGUAAUGAAUCUAAUUAGGAAGUGUUAGAGUCAAAACGUUAAGAAAUGACCAUGACGUCCGGAGACUAGAAAAAUUAAGGCUAGUGUACCUUGACAUGUUUCGUGAGGUUUCAAGAGUCGGAAUUUAAUGGAAUUUGAUAAAAGGUUAUUAAACAUGUAUCAGAGUGAUUUUAGGAUCAAAAAGUACGAGUACGACUCCCCAAGAACCACCCUAAGGGUCCUUGGAGAGAACCCUACAUUUAGACCCAAAAAUGUCAAAUUGACAGUAGCCAAACGACGAGCCAAUCAACGAGCCGUUGAUGGGUCAACAACCCGUCGAUGGUGGUCUUUGACCAAGACAUUUAUUUCAAAAAGGGGGAUAAAACCACAAUCUUUGACCAAAACCACGGACCAGCAGGACGGUCUGUGGUACGUCUAUGAGGCGUCGACGGGGUUCCGUCAUUGGAACCUUAUUGAACUGCUAAGAUUCUAUUUAAGUUGGGGUAAUUAGUUAGUUCUUUAAGUAAUUAAUUAGGGGAUUAGGUAUUGUUAAUUAAGUUAUUUUAAGGACAACAAAAAGAUUUCCAACUCAUUAACUAACCUGACACCCCAUUAUUUCCUCAAACCCACUUAGCUCUAACUUCUCUCUACUUUCUCUCUCCCCAAACUUCAACCUCCAUUGAAGAACACUAAAACUACAAGAUUAGGACGAAUUCACCAAGGAUUUCAUCUUACAUUUGUGGCAAGAUCAUCACUAAUGUAUGGUUUCUUUCACUCUUGGGAUCCUUUCCCCAAGAGGCUCCUUCAACUAUGGUUUCCAAACCUUCCAAGACUAGGUUUUCAAUCUAGACAUGGGAUCUUCUUUCAAAACGAAAUGUUCAUUCAAUUAUGAUGAUUUAUGUUAUUUUAUCAUUGUUUAACUAAGUAUUGAUGGUCAAUUGUUGGUAAACACUAGCGAUUUCCCCUUAAACCUUGUUCUUUCCUAAAACCAUUAUGUCUUUAAUUUCUAUGUUAAUUAUGGAAGAUGAUGAGUAUAUGAUUAUGUAGAAUGCUAAUUGAUAUGUAUUCCUUCUUGAUUUUACUUUUUUUUAUGUGUUGGUUGUGUAUUCUUUGGUAAUUGAAGUGUGAAGUCAAUGAAAGGGCAAGAAGGUAUGAAGACUGAUUCUUCUUGAAUCCAAUUAUGAACCUUAACUCUAAAGGGCGUGAAUGUGUAGAUCAAGGAAGAAGGGUGGGAUAACACCCGAUUGAUUGAGCGUCUUACAUAUAUGAGUUUUUUAGAUACUAAUACUCUUCUAUCUAAUGUGUAGUUGUGAUAUUGAUGACAAUUAUGCCUCAUCCUUAAACUAUACAAUUGAAUUAUCCAUGAAGUAUGUGUUCAUGUUAUGAUAUGAUUAUUAUAUAAUUGAAAGUAGUUUCGCAUGAUUAUAAUAAAGUGUUAAGUGAUAGGUUUACUCAUUUGAUUAGUGGUUUCCAAUGUGAAAGGAUUGUUCAUACUCGUGAUGACUUAUGAGCCAUUAUGUUAAAGGGUUUAUAUAAGAGUCUAGAAGAGACUAAUGUGAACUUGUAUAAUGAACUAAGAUGGUUACUAAAGGGAAUAAAGGUUUAGCACCGAAAGGGAAUGUAAAUGAGAUAGAGGUCUCCCAAUAUAUGUGUUGUCUCAUGAGAUGGAAACCUCCACGUCUAGCAAGUCAAGGUUUCUAGUAGUCAUAUCCUUGACCCUUAAUUAUGUGCCUACAUAUCACUAUAGCUUAGUGCAUCCACUUAGAUAGCUAUGUAUGAUUGGUUACACCUUAGGCAAGUGUUAACCCUCUCUUUUCGGUGUGGGAGGAGAACACCGGAUUUCAUGUAGCUCACGUGGUCUAAUGUCGGUUAUGGUACUUAUUUUCCCUAAAGUAAAAGUAAAUGAACAAGUUAAGUAUGUUAACUAUUAUUAGGGUUUUCUUAAAGGUUACCACAUAGUGUGAGGGAGGGUACGUGACUUCUCUUAUACAUUGCAUAUGUGGGAUCCGACGGGAUGAUCAUAGUAGUGUUCUUGUAUGAUUAAUUUGAUUAUAUGCUAUGUGUGUCAAGCCAUAUAUGAUAUUAUGAACUAAGCAUGUUAUGAUGAAAUACUAAGUAAUGAUGUAUGCAUGAAGUAGGUGGGUCAAUGUAAUACUUAACUUUGGAUAGGGUUAGAGGGUUUCAUUCUUGGCAAUGCACUAGAAUUGCUUGAGUUGCCUAUAUGUUGGGUUGACUUAUGAUGUUCCAUAUAAGUGCAUGUUGAGUUAUUUGACACUAAGCAUGAUUUUUGACUAAAUUGUGUCUUUUAUCAUGCAUUUAUGAUUUUAUGCAUAGGAACCAUGCUUAGUACAUGUGGUUUAUACUAACCCAUAUUUCUUCCUUUUUCCCAACAUUGUAGAUUUCGGUCAUUGAAGAGCCUCUAGACCAAUUUGCAAGAAUACUUGGACCUUUCCCUCAAGUUAUUGGUAGGUCUUCAAGUUCGAGGAUGUUGCCAUUAUUUUACUCUAGCUAUGAUGUUGAUUGUGUCAAAAUACUAUUAUUCUUUCCUUUAUCAUUUGAGAGUAUCGUUGUAAGCCUAUAAUGGCAAGUUGUACUUGUGUAUGGGGUUAUGCUCAACUUUGUAAUACUCUUUAGAUGGUUUAAUGUGAGACAAUACUAUAAGACUAUUUCCUAUGUAUUGGUUAUCUUGCCUAAACGAGGAGGCUAUGUAAGCUUCCAUAAGCGAAGAGUCUAUGUAAAC